GACGAACGCUGGCGGCGUGCUUAACACAUGCAAGUCGAACGAAGAGCGACGGAAGCUUGCUUCUAUCAAUCUUAGUGGCGAACGGGUGAGUAACGCGUAAUCAACCUGCCCUUCAGAGGGGGACAACAGUUGGAAACGACUGCUAAUACCGCAUACGAUCUAAUCUCGGCAUCGAGGAUGGAUGAAAGGUGGCCUCUACAUGUAAGCUAUCACUGAAGGAGGGGAUUGCGUCUGAUUAGCUAGUUGGAGGGGUAACGGCCCACCAAGGCGAUGAUCAGUAGCCGGUCUGAGAGGAUGAGCGGCCACAUUGGGACUGAGACACGGCCCAGACUCCUACGGGAGGCAGCAGUGGGGAAUCUUCCGCAAGAGACGAAAGUCUGACGGAGCAACGCCGCGGGAGUGAUGACGGCCUUCGGGUUGUAAAGCUCUGUUAAUCGGGACGAAAGGCCUUCUUGCGAAUAGUGAGAAGGAUUGACGGUACCGGAAUAGAAAGCCACGGCUAACUACGUG
rnacentral:rRNA from 1 species